rnacentral:rRNA from 1 species
AGCGCAGGCGGGAGAACAAGUUGGAAGUGAAAUCCAUGGGCUCAACCCAUGAACUGCUUUCAAAACUGUUUUUCUUGAGUAGUGCAGAGGUAGGCGGAAUUCCCGGUGUAGCGGUGGAAUGCGUAGAUAUCGGGAGGAACACCAGUGGCGAAGGCGGCCUACUGGGCACCAACUGACGCUGAGGCUCGAAAGUAUGGGUAGCAAACA